AGAUAAUGUUCCUCUUUCUUAGGUUUUCAUGUGUCAAGACAGCUUCUUUUGCUAGCAGCUAUGAGAAACAUGCCACCUUCAAAGAUGCUUUGGUUCUCCAUAUUUGUUUCCAUGGCCAUAUGUAGUUCUGUGCCACUGUCGAGUUCAGAAGUUUGUACCCUGAACUUACUUUGUAUGCCCUUUUGUUUUCCCGAUUCCACCAUAGUCUGUCUACCCCAUUCUUCAGUCCUUGAAAAGCUUCAAGG
rnacentral:misc_RNA from 1 species